AUUGAACGCUGGCGGCAGGCCUAACACAUGCAAGUCGAGCGGAGCGGCUGACGGGUGCGUAAUGCCUAUUAAUCUGCCUGUUAGUGGUGGAUACCGUCCAGAAACGGGCGCUACUACCGCAUACUAUACACUGAGCCUAGGUAGGAUUAGCUAGUUGGUGGGGGAAAGGCCUACCAAGGAGACGAUCCGUAACUGGGCUGAGAGGAUGAUCGGUCACACUGGAACUGAGACACGGUCCAGACGCCUACGGGAGGCAGCAGUGGGGAAUAUUGGACAAUGGGCGAAAGCCUGAUCCAGCCAUGCAGCGUGUGUGAAGAAGGUCUUCGGAUUGUAAAGCACUUUAAGUUGGGAGGCGGUACCAACAGAAUAAGCACAGGCUAACGUCGUGCCAGCAGCCGCGGUAAUAC
rnacentral:rRNA from 1 species